GCAUAUCAAUAAGCGGAGGAAAAGAAACCAACAGGGAUUGCCCUAGUAACGGCGAGUGAAGCGGCAACAGCUCAAAUUUGAAAUCUGGCCCUCGGGUCCGAAUUGUAAUUUGUAGAGGAUGCUUUUGGUGAGGUACCUUCCGAGUUCCCUGGAACGGGACGCCAUAGAGGGUGAGAGCCCCGUCUGGUUGGAUACCGAUCCUCUGUAAAGCUCCUUCGACGAGUCGAGUAGUUUGGGAAUGCUGCUCUAAAUGGGAGGUAUAUGUCUUCUAAAGCUAAAUAUUGGCCAGAGACCGAUAGCGCACAAGUAGAGUGAUCGAAAGAUGAAAAGCACUUUGAAAAGAGAGUUAAAAAGUACGUGAAAUUGUUGAAAGGGAAGCGCUCAUGACCAGACUUGGGCUUGGUUGAUCAUCCAGGGUUCUCCCUGGUGCACUCUUCCAGCCCAGGCCAGCAUCAGUUCGCUGUGGGGGAUAAAGGCUUUGGGAAUGUGGCUCCUCCGGGAGUGUUAUAGCCCAUUGUGUAAUACCCUGUGGUGGACUGAGGUUCGCGCAUCUGCAAGGAUGCUGGCGUAAUGGUCAUCAGCGACCCGUCUUGAAACACGGACC
rnacentral:rRNA from 3 species